UUAUUAGACUUGUUACAAGGUUGUUCUAACAAGUCUGAUACAGUCAUGAUAGUUUAACAAGAAUGUUACAAGAUUUAUGACACAAGGUUGUAACAAUAUUGUUAUAUCAUGACUGUAUCGGACUUGUUGGAACAACCUUGCAACAAGUCUGAUAA